GAUGAACGCUGGCGGCGUGCCUAAUACAUGCAAGUCGAGCGAACAGAUAAGGAGCUUGCUCCUUUGACGUUAGCGGCGGACGGGUGAGUAACACGUGGGUAACCUACCUAUAAGACUGGAAUAACUCCGGGAAACCGGGGCUAAUGCCGGAUAACAUUUAGAACCGCAUGGUUCUAAAGUGAAAGAUGGUUUUGCUAUCACUUAUAGAUGGACUCGCGCCGUAUUAGCUAGUUGGUAAGGUAACGGCUUACCAAGGCAACGAUACGUAGCCGAUCUGAGAGGGUGAUCGGCCACACUGGAACUGAGACACGGUCCAGACUCCUACGGGAGGCAGCAGUAGGGAAUCUUCCGCAAUGGGCGAAAGCCUGACGGAGCAACGCCGCGUGAGUGAUGAAGGUCUUCGGAUCGUAAAACUCUGUUAUUAGGGAAGAACAAAUGUGUAAGUAACUGUGCACGUCUUGACGGUACCUAAUCAGAAAGCAACGGCUAACUACGUG
rnacentral:rRNA from 1 species